rnacentral:rRNA from 1 species
CAGCAGCCGCGGUAAUACGUAGGUGGCAAGCGUUGUCCGGAAUUAUUGGGCGUAAAGCGCGCGCAGGCGGCCUAUCCAGUCUGUCUUAAAAGUUCGGGGCUCAACCCCGUGAUGGGAUGGAAACUAGUAGGCUAGAGUAUCGGAGAGGAAAGCGGAAUUCCUAGUGUAGCGGUGAAAUGCGUAGAUAUUAGGAAGAACACCAGUGGCGAAGGCGGCUUUCUGGACGAAAACUGACGCUGAGGCGCGAAAGCCAGGGGAGCGAACGGGAUUAGAUACCCCAGUAGUCCCUGUCUCUUAUACA